GAGUUUGAUCGUGGCUCAGAUUGAACGCUGGCGGCAGGCUUAACACAUGCAAGUCGAGCGGGGGAGAUUGCUUCGGUAAUUGACCUAGCGGCGGACGGGUGAGUAAUACUUAGGAAUCUGCCUAUUAAUGGGGGACAACAUCUCGAAAAGGGAUGCUAAUACCGCAUACGCCUACGGGAAAGCAGGGGAUCACUUGUGACCUUGCGUUAAUAGAUGAGCCUAAGUCGGAUUAGCUAGUUGGUGGGUAAAGGCCUACCAAGGCGACGAUCUGUAGCGGGUCUGAGAGGAUGAUCCGCCACACUGGGACUGAGACACGGCCCAGACCCCUACGGGAGGC
rnacentral:rRNA from 1 species